UACGUAGGGGGCAAGCGUUGUUCGGAUUCACUGGGCGUAAAGGGUGCGUAGGUGGUGAGGUAAGUCGGAUGUGAAAUCUCCAAGCUCAACUUGGAAAUGGCAUUGGAAACUACCUUGCUGGAGGUUUGGAGGGGGGACUGGAAUUCUCGGUGUAGCAGUGAAAUGCGUAGAUAUCGAGAGGAACACCAGUGGCGAAGGCGAGUCCCUGGACAAAACCUGACACUGAGGCACGAAAGCUAGGGGAGCAAACAGG
rnacentral:rRNA from 1 species